rnacentral:rRNA from 1 species
UACGAAGGGGGCUAGCGUUGCUCGGAAUCACUGGGCGUAAAGGGUGCGUAGGCGGGUCUUUAAGUCAGGGGUGAAAUCCUGGAGCUCAACUCCAGAACUGCCUUCGAUACUGACGAUCUCGAGUCCGGAAGAGGUGAGUGGAAUUCCGAGUGUAGAGGUGAAAUUCGUAGAUAUUCGGAGGAACACCAGUGGCGAAGGCGGCUCACUGGUCCGGUACUGACGCUGAGGUGCGAAAGCGUGGGGAGCAAACAGG